CAGCUCCUCAACAGGAUUUGGAAGAUACCCCCGAAAAAGGGAAGAAAAGGGAAAAAAAGAAAACCCCAACCCCAAGCCCCAAUUUUGGUGCAAACCCCAGCCUGAAGAACUUUUGGGGGCUGUAAAUAUUUCGUCACCUUCUCGGGGAUUCCAAGGGCCCCGGUUGUCUUGAAAACCUCCAAGAAACGGCAUAAAAAUAUUUACUUCCAAAAAAAAAUAAAA